rnacentral:lncRNA from 1 species
CGAGUGGAUCCACUAGAAACCGAAAUUGGCGUUAAAACUCUAGAUUGUCGAAAACCACUUAUCUCCUUUGAAGAAUUCAUUAAUGAACCACUGAAUGAUGUUCUAGAAAUGGACAAAGAUUAUACUUUUUUCAAAGUUGAAACAGAGAACAAAUUCUCUUUUAUGACAUGUCCCUUUAUAUUGAAUGCUGUCACAAAGAAUCUGGGAUUGUAUUAUGACAAUAGAAUUCGCAUGUACAGUGAAAGAAGAAUCACUGUUCUUUACAGCCUAGUUCAAGGACAGCAGUUGAAUCCAUAUUUGAGACUUAAAGUCAGACGUGACCAUAUUAUAGAUGAUGCACUUGUCCGG